AACUUUCAGCGACGGAUGUCUUGGCUCCCCCAACGAUGAAGAACGCAGCGAAAUGCGAUACGUCUUGCGACUUG
rnacentral:rRNA from 1 species